rnacentral:rRNA from 1 species
CCCAGACUCCUACGGGAGGCAGCAGUGGGGGAUAUUGCACAAUGGGGGGAACCCUGAUGCAGCGACGCCGCGUGGGUGAAGGAGUGCUUCGGCAUGUAAAGCCCUCUCGGCAGGGAAGAAGCAAGACGGUACCUGGGGAGGAAGCUCCGGCUAACUACGUGCCAGCAGCCGCGGUAAUACGUAGGGAGCGAGCGUUGUCCGGAAUUACUGGGUGUAAAGGGAGCGUAGGCGGGGAUGCAAGUUGGGUGUCAAAACUACCGGCUCAACUGGUAGUCGCACUCAAAACUGCAGCUCUUGAGUGAAGUAGAGGCAGGCGGAAUUCCUAGUGUAGCGGUGAAAUGCGUAGAUAUUAGGAGGAACACCAGUGGCGAAGGCGGCCUGCUGGGCUUUUACUGACGCUGAGGCUCGAAAGUGUGGGGAGCAAACAGGAUUAGAUACCCGAGUAAC